CAAUGAGAUGAGAUGAAGUUACGCAAUGAGACCAAGUAACACAUUAAGAUAAAAGUAACGCAAUGACACACAAGUAACGCAAUGAGGCCAAGUAACGCUAUAAGAUGCAAGUAACGCAAUGAGAUACAAGUAACGCAAUGGCAUCAAGUAACGCAAUGAGAUCAAGUACAGAAAAGAUCAAAGGAGGUUCCUGUGGCGUGAGAAACCGAUGGCAUGUGGUGACCUGGGACCGAUAGAAACUAUAUCUAAUUUGGUUUAGAAUUUUGAAAUUUGAAUUUAGCGUUAAGAUCAAUUGUCCUGUCAUGUUGACUCAUUGACGGCUGAUUGAUAACUGAUUGUUCUUGAGCACGGUGGUGGGAGGAGCUUUCCCUUUAAUAGCGAGACCUCGUGUUUAAACACGAAGGCGCGGUAUAAAAGGGUGCUUCCAUUGGAAGCAUCGGCUCAUUUGUCAAUCAACCGCCGUGGAGUGAUGAUUAAAUUCAAGAUGGCGGCCCGAGUCAAGUACAAAACACAGAGGGGAGAGGUUUCAAAGCGCUUCCUGAUGUAUAAAAAUGCCAACUCUACCUUCUAGUCCGAUAGAAUGUGUAAAAAAGGAAUCUCAGUAGAAAUAAAGCUAAGAAACCAACGUGAUUUAUGCAAAAAAGGAGCAAACGCAUGAUCGGAAAACAACGAUUUCAAACCUCGACAAAAGCUUUACCCAAGAAGCAAGUCAUGGUGACAUCCGAAUAAUCAUGUAUUACAUUUUCCAUGUGAUUUUAAAUCAUAAACAUUCCUUUGUAAAGGAAACAUGUUUUGUUGCUAUAAGAUUGAUUGAUGUGCUAGUGAAGAGUAUAAAGCAACCAGUCAUAUUUUAUAAACUGCAUUAUAGAUUAUACUUUUGAAUAAACUAAAAAGCUUUCUCUUUUAUCCAUUCAGUUCAAGACUUCUCAUUCUUACAGUAAAAGCAAGUGUAGAUACAGGGAGGAUAUCCAUUGAAUGAAAACAGUAAAAGUCAUGUCUCUAUUUUGUAUAAUUAACUUAAUAAUUAACUAAGUAUAAAACAUAUGUUUGGGUAAACCCUUUAUAAAACUAAGGAUCCAGUCAAGUUUUGGGCAAAUAGAAACAAAAGCUAAUUCAAUUGUUAUUAUUUCUACAUUAUUUGUAGUCAUCAUAGAUUGCAAGAUAAAAACAAAAUACUAUACAGGUGCAUUCUGAUCCAAAAAAUAGAAAGAUAGACUCAAUUAUGGCUCAAUCUCACUUAGAUGGAUAUUCGGCAUUUCUUUAGUAGCCCUUCAGUGGUUUGGUGUACAUAUAUGUGUGAGUAUAUAAGCUGAUACAUUGUACAAAGGGUUAUCUGCUGUUUCUGUGAGCCAGUUAUGCACUCACUAUAAAAAAAUAUUGAAACAAAUGUUUUCUUUAUAUUGUAUACCACUCCCUUGUUUUGUACAGUUUCUGUGAGCCAGUUAUGCACUAUAAAAACAAAUAUUGAAACAAAUGUUUUCUUUUAUUUUAUACCACUUCCCUUGUUCUGUACAGACAAAUAGUAAGUUUUGCGUUUUAUUGGGAUGGUACUAAGCCCUACUUUUAACCCUACAUCUGAUAAAUUAGCACGAGGGCACAAUGGUCUAAUGACCAAGUGCUUUCCUAGAAAUCAAAAUGACUGCACUAUGCUCCCUAUUCAAACAGGUGUACCUAGUACUCUGUUUAGUAUACUUAUAAAUAACAGGUUGAGGGUAAGUUGACAAAUUUCCUUAGCCUUUCUUUAUGUUCUGGAUCAAGAAGUCUGGUACUAACAGCAGGAUGGCACCAGAGAAAGGUAAUGACCACCCUAGAUAAUGUAAUAUCAGAGUUUCACUUGCACACUCCCUGGAUACCACUGAAAUAUCUUAUGAAACUGGGGUCAUUUGCCGAAGCCUGAUCAUGGUAACAUGUAUUGAUCAACUAUUAAAUUUGGUAAAUGUCAAAACACUUUAUAAAUUUUUGGUUAAUUCUUGAACAGAUGUACAACAGCAGAUAGGCACACUUUGCAUUUUUGUUUUACACCUGUUGCAGCAACA